CUCGUGCCAUGCAGGGAUGGCACUCCCAGCGUCUUCUUAAUAAUGGUCAGGUUUGUGAUCCAAUCAUCAAGGUGUGUGGACAACUUCUAAACUUGAUUAAAAUUUUUGUUUGGGAUUUAUAUUUAUUAAUUUUUGCCUUGGUCUAUCGCGUGUAGCAUUGUCAUCAUUUCAGCAAGACCUUUUUCCUUAAUUUGCUAUUUCUUUUGUUUUCUUUUUCUUUUUUCUUUUUGUGAGUUAGGACAAGAACUUGAAUUCUACACCAAAGAGUGACAAGCAGCUAAAAUCUAAUGGUUUACUGAAGCGUAAAAAGCCAUCGAAUGUUGAGCGUGCUGUCCAUGUU
rnacentral:misc_RNA from 1 species